AUUGAACGCUGGCGGCAUGCUUUACACAUGCAAGUCGAACGGUAACAGGCCUUCGGGUGCUGACGAGUGGCGAACGGGUGAGUAAUGCAUCGGAACGUACCCAGAGGUGGGGGAUAACGCAGCGAAAGCUGUGCUAAUACCGCAUGUGAUCUGAGGAUGAAGGCGGGGGACCGAGCAGCAAUGUUUGGCCUCGCGCCUUUGGAGCGGCCGAUGUCGGAUUAGCUAGUUGGUGGGGUAAAGGCCUACCAAGGCGACGAUCCGUAGCUGGUCUGAGAGGACGACCAGCCACACUGGGACUGAGACACGGCCCUGACUCCUACGGGAGGCAGCAGUGGGGAAUUUUGGACAAUGGGCGCAAGCCUGAUCCAGCAAUGCCGCGUGCGGGAAGAAGGCCUUCGGGUUGUAAACCGCUUUUGGCAGGAACGAAACGGUGUCCGCUAAUACCGGGCGCUAAUGACGGUACCUGCAGAAUAAGCACCGGCUAACUACGUG
rnacentral:rRNA from 1 species